CCAGAGAACUUAGUAGAGAUGCUUUGGUGCCUUCGGGAACUCUGAGACAGGUGCUGCAUGGCUGUCGUCAGCUCGUGUUGUGAAAUGUUGGGUUAAGUCCCGCAACGAGCGCAACCCUUAUCCUUUGUUGCCAGCGGUUCGGCCGGGAACUCAAAGGAGACUGCCAGUGAUAAACUGGAGGAAGGUGGGGAUGACGUCAAGUCAUCAUGGCCCUUACGAGUAGGGCUACACACGUGCUACAAUGGCAUAUACAAAGAGAAGCGACCUCGCGAGAGCAAGCGGACCUCAUAAAAUAUGUCGUAGUCCGGAUUGGAGUCUGCAACUCGACUCCAUGAAGUCGGAAUCGCUAGUAAUCGUAGAUCAGAAUGCUACGGUGAAUACGUUCCCGGGCCUUGUACACACCGCCCGUCACACCAUGGGAGUGGGUUGCAAAAGAAGUAGGUAGCUUAACCUUCGGGAGGGCGCUUACCACUUUGUGAUUCAUGACUGGGGUGAAGUCGUAACAAGGUAACCGUAGGGGAACCUGCGGUUGGAUCACCUCCUUACCUUAAAGAA
rnacentral:rRNA from 1 species